UAUGGCUUGCCAAGCGGUGCCAUGUCCACACCCGGGAUCUAAACCGGCGAACCCUGGGCCGUCAAGAAGAGGAACGUGCGAACUUAACCACUGCGCCACCGGGCCGGCCCCUAAAAGCCGCCACUCUUAUUCUUCCCACUACUGCUGCUGUCUGCGUAGAUGCCCCUGUCCCUCACCAGACUCAGGAUCCUUGAGGGCAGGGACCAGCCCCUAGCGUAGGGGCUGUAACAAGACCGGCAUCCAGUGAUUGUGGAAGUGAACCGCAUCGACUUGCUCGUGGACCCAGAUAGAAUCGACCUGUAGGCAGACUCGCCUCCUCGGUCAUCUCUCCACCCCUGCCCAAAGGAGCAGCCUUUGGUUUUAGAUACCCGAAAUUCUUCCGGAACGUCAGUUUGGCCUUCCUGGUUCAUCACUGUCGUUUUGGCAUUUCCUUGGUGCUCCUUCUAAAGGCUCCUGACCCCUCGGGACAAACACGCCACUUCAGUUUGCGCCACUUCUGAUGGAUUGGUAGUGGUUCUCCUAGAAUAUCAUGAUGAUAAGGAUUCUGUAGACGACAGGGGGCUGCUCAGAAGAAAGAGCAUUAAGAUGGCUUAGCAAUGUCUGCCUUGCGGGAGGAAGGGCUCCUCUGCCUUAAUGUGAAGAGGUAGUUUGUUGAAUGCUUUUCCUACAUUAAGCCAAGACUGAGAGUGUGGGCUUUUGCCUCUGGCGGACGCUCAGGGAAGGUGAGGAGAAGAGUAGCCGAGGGCUCCAAAGGUAGGUCGCCCUUCUUGGGAUUUCCUAGGGCGGACCUUGGAUGUUUGAAUGUCCAGGUCUGUGCUCUGACCAUGCCCCCUCCUGCUCCUGACAUGAUCAGUCACCAGAGGGACUGUGGAAUCUUAGCCAGACCAUGGGGCUUCACGGCUCAGGAUCCCUGGCAGCUUCCUUAGCACGGGAAGCUAAGGCGACUUCUCUCUCCUCCUAGGCAGCUCAGGCCUUCAAGAAUGGCAAGACCGAAUCAAACGUGAAUAAUCUCUGGAGGUGUUUUAUUUCAUGUCUCUCUAACUUUGCCCCAUGGCCCCUGGGGACCAUGGUCUCCCUUAGUGACAUCCCUUGGAAAUGCAAUUGGAUUUGACUCAGUUGUGGGGGCCGGGUGUGGACAGACCCCCAGGCCCUGGCUUGUCCCAGUUCAACGGGAGCCAUGUGGUCUUGCAACCGAACACUCCUCCCCACCCAGGAAUGCUGCUAAUGUCCUUGGCAGAUGUCCCUUCUAUUGCCUGAUAACCUCCAGCAAUGCUGUUCCCAGAGUCUGUGCCUUCGUUCAAGUGGCUCUGAUCAGUGAGAUAAUGGUCACUCCCUUCAAGCCCUCUUGCUCCAAGUAGUCAUUUGACGUCCUUCCUCAGACCUGUGUUGACACUGGGCCUCCACCUCAGCCUGGGUCUCAGCCUGAGCACACGUAGUUAAGAAAUUUAAGGCUCCAGGUCAUCUCAGCAUUAAAGAAACAGAACUCUAACUCCUGCAGCCUUGAGAAGCCAUAUCGGUCUGUGCUAGGCGCUGUUGUCCUGGAGCACAGGGUCCUGUGGCCCACCACACAGCAACAUUUCCUUAAAAAUGCCUCUUCACACAUCACUCUCGGUCCCCAAAAUAUCACUCUUCAGAGCAUCUGUUCAAACCUCUCCCCUUCCGUCUCCUUCCAGCCCCUCUUCCUGACCUCUCCCUCCUGUGGCUCCGUUCUCUUCCUUUAUAAAGCCAUCUGUGCUCGUCGUCCCUUUGGCAGCUCUGUCUACCCUUCUGCCCAGUAAAACUGAAAGUUUUUCUGGGAACCCACCAUGCUCAACAGGGGGUAGUAAACUCCCAUAAGAACUGAAUAUGCUGUUCCUUGCAUGCUGGGCACUCAGUACACAUCCAGGGCAGACAGAAGGAAACCCUUAGAGGCUGAAGACACAACCGAGAGGGGAUUUACAGAGCCACUUUCCUCAUGGGUCCCCUUUCUCUCUCUCUUCUCCUUCCCCUGCAUCAGUACCUGGGGGAGGGAGAAAAAGUAGAGUUAUCUGUCCCUCCGUACUCGCCAUCUGACUCAAUUCUGCACAUUCUGCAAGACACAGAUCACUCCCGCCCACUCCCGACCUCUCCAGUCCACAGCACCCUCGCCUCCCAUUUGUCUUGCUUUUAUUGUUACCAAACUUUCUGUGGUGGAUGUCUCAUCUCCUUAACCAGUCUGUAAGCACCUUAAAAGUAGGACUUGUCCCUCCACUGUGCCAUCAAGGCUCUGGGCACGCAAAUUGAUGGAACUUGAAUAGCUACUAAUAGAAGAUUUGGCAGGGAGGUGGCGGUGGAAUGAUGGUUAAGAGCGAGGUCUCUGGAAUGCACAUCCUGGCUCCAUCACUGUGGUAGAUCGCCCCCGGGUUCUCGUGCCUCUGUGGAUCUGUGCCACCCGAGACCAUCCUCUGACCAUCUGGGACCAGCACACUGACUCUGGGCUUGGCCUGAUGAUUUAUUUCGGCCAAUAUAGUGGAAGAAGUGAUGACAUACUAGCUCCAAUCUUAGGCCUCAAAAGACUUUGUGCCCUUUCAUUCUCUCUUGGAACCUUCCCACCAUCAUGAGAACAGGCCCAGAUAGCCUUCUGGAAGACAGGAGGCCAUGUGGAGGAGGGCCACGUCAUCCCAGCUGAUGCCUUCCUAGGCCAGGCAGAGGAAAGCUGCCUCCUGGCCACCAAUGCGUGAAUGAGCCCAGGUGAAGUCAGCCUAGCCUGGCUGGAAUCGUCAGAACCUUCCAGCUGACCUACAGACUGAGGCACAAAAGUAAAUGAUUAGUAUCAGCCUGUUAUUAAAGGUUUUGUGGAUGUUUGUUAGGCAGCAUUAAUGUGGCAACAGACAACUGAUACAACCAUUUACCAGCUCUGUGACAUUGGGCAAGCUAUUUCAUCUCUCUAUACCUCCAAUUCUUUGUGAAAGGGGGAUGUGGAGGACAUUGCUGACAGCUUGUAGCUGAGUCUCCCCUUCCAGCGAUUGCGUCAGCUGCACAGCUGCUUCUCCAAGGUUCUGG
rnacentral:lncRNA from 1 species